GGGAUUGCCCUAGUAACGGCGAGUGAAGCGGCAACAGCUCAAAUUUGAAAUCUGGCUCUUUCAGAGUCCGAGUUGUAAUUUGCAGAGGGCGCUUUGGCGUUGGGAGCGGUCCAAGUUCUUUGGAACAGGACGUCACAGAGGGUGAGAAUCCCGUACGUGGUCGCUAUCCUUUGCCGUGUAAAGCCCCUUCGACGAGUCGAGUUGUUUGGGAAUGCAGCUCUAAAUGGGAGGUAAAUUUCUUCUAAAGCUAAAUACUGGCCAGAGACCGAUAGCGCACAAGUAGAGUGAUCGAAAGAUGAAAAGCACUUUGGAAAGAGAGUCAAAUAGCACGUGAAAUUGUUGAAAGGGAAGCGCUUGCAGCCAGACUUGCCUGUAGUUGCUUAUCUGGACUUUUGUCCAGUGCACUCUUCUGCGGGCAGGCUAGCAUCAGUUUGGGCGGUUGGAUAAAGGUCUCUGUCAUGUACCUCCUUUCGGGGAGGCCUUAUAGGGGAGGCGACAUGCAACCAGCCUGGACUGAGGUCCGCGCAUCUGCUAGGAUGCUGGCGUAAUGGCUGUAAGCGGCCCGUCUUGAAACACGGACCAAGGAGUCUAACAUCUAUGCGAGUGUUUGGGUGUCAAGCCCAGACGCGUAAUGAAAGUGAACGGAGGUGGGAACCUUUUAGGUGCACCAUCGACCGAUCCUGAUGUUUUCGGAAGGAUUUGAGUAAGAGCAUAGCUGUUGGGACCCGAAAGAUGGUGAACUAUGCUUGAAUAGGGUGAAGCCAGAGGAAACUCUGGUGGAGGCUCGCAGCGGUUCUGACGUGCAAAUCGAUCGUCAAAUUUGGGCAUAGGGGCG
rnacentral:rRNA from 1 species